CAUGUACUCCCUUCGUUUGAAAUUACUUGUUGCAGAAAUGGAUGUAUCUAGACGUAUUUUACUUCUAGAUAUAUAUCUAUUUUCGAGACAAGUAAUUCCGAACAAAGGGAGUAGUAG
rnacentral:pre_miRNA from 1 species